rnacentral:rRNA from 1 species
CAGUAGCCGCGGGAAUACGAAGGGUGCAAGCGUUACUCGGAAUUACUGGGCGUAAAGCGUGCGUAGGUGGUGGUUUAAGUCCGUUGUGAAAGCCCUGGGCUCAACCUGGGAAUUGCAGUGGAUACUGGGUCACUAGAGUGUGGUAGAGGAUAGUGGAAUUUCCGGUGUAGCAGUGAAAUGCGUAGAGAUCGGAAGGAACAUCUGUUGCGAAGGCGACUAUCUGGGCCAACACUGACACUGAGGCACGAAAGCGUGGGGAGCAAACAGGAUUAGAUACCCCGGUAGUCCCUGUCUCUUAUAA